AAUCUACUCUCUUUGUCCGAAAAUACUUGUCAUUAAAAUGAAUAAAAAAGAAUGUAUCUAGAACUAAAAUACGUCUAGAUACAUCCUCUUUUGUUUAUUUUGAUGACAACUAUUUCCGGAGGGAGGGAGUAGAAU
rfam:Triticum aestivum genome assembly, contig: Triticum_aestivum_CS42_TGACv1_scaffold_159139_2DL